AGCUGGCUGGAAAAUUGGGGGCGGCCAGUAGGAAUGCGUCAUAUUUGUAAGCGGAAAACCAAACCUUUAUCUUAUCUUGCGAAACGCGACUGACCGCCAUAUACAAAUAAUCUGAACAAAACAAAUAAACGGUUGGCGAUUUUGCUGUCACAAUGUUAUUCCCAUUGAUUAUUUUCGCGGCUUAUUUGCUAAUUAAUUAACAAUUUCUUGUGACAGCCGGAGACUUCAGAUUGCGAUCAGAAAUCCGCUUAUUAGCUGGUCACUGGUUUUAUAGUUAUCCAGAUACUCCCCACAAGCGGAUGAACCCGACACGUGGCACUUGGGAAUCAAUAGACUAGACCUUGGCUUGAUUGUUGUUUUCUUUCGAUCAAUUUUGCUUGGGUUCUGUUUUUUCCGGUCUUCUGGCGAAGCAAUUGAAUAACAUGACAGCCGAACCAGCGAAUUGGAUUACACGCUUAAAAUAAAUAUUACCGACCAGAGAGACGUAGACGUAGAAAAAUGGACAUACUGUGUUUUCAUAGAAGCCCAACAAUGAAAACCCAACGCCAAAAAUACGUUUAGCCUAAAAUGCCAGUCUGUAUUCCCCGGGAAAACAAAAUAAUAAUAGUAAGGUAAUAAAAUUAAAAACAAAAACUGGCACAGUACCCGCAGGAUUCAUGCACCCAG